CACACUAUUAUGAUUCAUAAUAUACAUGAAUAAAUUAUGCAGAAACAAAUUGUGGUCAAGUGUAUGCGUGAACCACAUGAGAUAUAAAUGAUUUACUCAUUCAUUGGAAUGACACAACAAUUUCAUACAAGUUUUCAACUGACAAAAUCUAAACCAAUUCCCACGUGAUACUGCUUCUCAGUAAAAUUGCAGGACUCUUAAUCAGAAUUAAGUAAAUUCUUCAUGUAUAUUGUUACUAUUGCAUGGUAUUGGUAUUGUAGUAUUAGUUGUACUACAGCAUUGUUAAUUCUCAUAGCAACAUAUGAAUUUCUGCAUGCAGAGAUGUUCAAAAGUGGGUUUUUUCUCCAGAUAUCGUUCACUUGGUAGUAUGUUGUAUUACACGUUUUCUUGUUUGUCUAAUACAUGUAGUUCUUCUUCGUCUGGUUCAUGGUGUCGGUCUGGUUCAUGGCCGUUCUUCGUCUGGUUCUGCAGGUGUCGGUAUGAAGAAAAGCUUGUUAUAUACUAACUGAAAAAUGGAACCAAGGACCACGCCUAUUAUGACCAACGACAGCACAAUUGGUCUCAGUACACUCAUAUGUUUCACAUCAGGUGUUGGUAUUGUCACCAACAAGAUUGCGAGCAAAACGUUCUCUAUGGAUAAUAGACUGUAGAACACAAAAUGGACAGUUGAUUCACUCAGUUUUAAUGUGGUUUUCAUUCCCCGAUAUGGCAGGUGUAUUGCAAUUAUAAUGCUCCAAAUAAUACAAUCAAGAAAAUAUCCUACAGGUUGACAUGGCAAUUCAUCAGGCUUUACAUCUCUAAACCAGAAUACUAAGACAGUACAUAUCAGCCAAUGAACCGCCAGUGCUGUCAACACCUGUUCCUUAAAGACGUAUGCGAAUACUAUAAUUGCAAACAAUCUGGAUAGGAAACUAAACAUUCGAGAAGUGAAAAAUACAACCAUGGCUGGUAGUGUAAAAUUACUAUGUUUAUUUACUAUCGCUCUCUCAUGAGCGGUGACACUCCAUGCUAAAGAAAGCAGGGAAAUCACGGCUGAGAGCAUGGUUAACCAUGGAAAAUCCCAAUUACGUAACAUGAUGUAAAUCUGCAGACACCAUUGUGGAGUAGACUCUGUAAGUGUCUCUAUAUAAUGUAGCGACGUGAGCUUGUAUGCUAAGUUGUUAGACUCCCUUAUCGCCACGCGGUAUUGUUUGCAAUCUGGGCAUUUGCAUUCCUCAUAGUUGUCUCCACAAGGGGGGUUAUCCCAAUGUGUUUUUUCCAAUGUUUAAACUCGUGGACAUAACGCUCAAAUAUGGACGAACA